AAGAAGUAAGACCCCUGAGAGACGAUCAGGUAGAUAGGCUAGAAGUGGAAGUAUAGUGAUAUAUGGAGCGGACUAGUACUAAUCGGUCGAGGACUUAACCAC
rnacentral:rRNA from 1 species